CGUUGAAGCAUUGGUUCCUGUACGAUCACUGGAGUUAAGCAACGUCAAGCCUGAUCAGUACUUAGAUGGGUGACCCCUUGGGAAUACCAGGUGCUGUAAG